rnacentral:rRNA from 1 species
UACAGAGGGGGCAAGCGUUGUUCGGAAUUACUGGGCGUAAAGGGCGCGUAGGCGGCCUGUUAAGUCGGACGUGAAAUCCCUCGGCUCAACCGGGGAACUGCGUCCGAUACUGGCGGGCUUGAAUUUGGGAGAGGGAUGUGGAAUUCCAGGUGUAGCGGUGAAAUGCGUAGAUAUCUGGAGGAACACCGGUGGCGAAGGCGGCAUCCUGGACCGACAUUGACGCUGAGGCGCGAAAGCCAGGGGAGCAAACGGG